GACGAACGCUGGCGGCGUGCUUAACACAUGCAAGUCGAACGGAAAGGCCCUGCUUUUGUGGGGUGCUCGAGUGGCGAACGGGUGAGUAACACGUGAGUAACCUGCCCUUGACUUUGGGAUAACUUCAGGAAACUGGGGCUAAUACCGGAUAGGAGCUCCUGCUGCAUGGUGGGGGUUGGAAAGUUUCGGCGGUUGGGGAUGGACUCGCGGCUUAUCAGCUUGUUGGUGGGGUAGUGGCUUACCAAGGCUUUGACGGGUAGCCGGCCUGAGGGGGUGACCGGCCAAAUUGGGACUGGGAUACGGCCCAGACUACAACGGGAGGCAGCAGUGGGGAAUAUUGCACAAUGGGCGGAAGCCUGAUGCAGCAACGCCGCGUGCGGGAUGACGGCCUUCGGGUUGUAAACCGCUUUCGCCUGUGACGAAGCGUGAGUGACGGUAAUGGGUAAAGAAGCACCGGCUAACUACGUG
rnacentral:rRNA from 1 species